GGGCUAGUAGCUUAGUUGGAAGCACGCGCGGUCGUAUUUGUACUGUUCGCGCAAUGCGGGUUCGAAUCCUGCCUGGACCC